UCCUGGUUAGCUCAAUUGGUAGAGCGCUCCACUGGAAAUGGCUAGAUCUUUGGUUCGAUACCUUGACCAGGUG
rnacentral:tRNA from 2 species